rnacentral:rRNA from 1 species
GACGUAGGGCGCGAGCGUUGUCCGGAUUUAUUGGGCGUAAAGAGCUCGUAGGCGGCUUGUCGCGUCGACUGUGAAAUCCCGCGGCUCAACUGCGGGUCUGCAGUCGAUACGGGCAGGCUAGAGUUCGGUAGGGGAGACUGGAAUUCCUGGUGUAGCGGUGAAAUGCUGCAGAUAUCAGGAGGAACACCGGUGGCGAAGGCGGGCU